CGCCUCUCACUUCUCUUGUUCUAUUUGUUUUUGCGGGCAGAUGAUGAUGAGUGAGUGAUUUGAUUGGUUGCCCCUUGUGUGUGGUGGGCUGCCUAUCAAAUAGUCAUUCAUCACACUUUUUUGCGC
ensembl:ncRNA R12B2.12 ncRNA